UCAUUAUACCAGUAAUCGUUACAUCCCUGAUUAAUAAAAGCAUUAAAAAAAAAAACCCAAAACAUUAAAAUCUAAUAAAAACUGAUACCUAAUUCAUAUCUGUAUGUACUCAGGGAGCUGAGAUAUGAAGAAAACUGAUUUUCCCCGAUUUCGCGUUAGCCAUUUUGAAAAAGCCGCUGUAAUCCGAGUCCAUCCCAUGAUAUCAAGCCUUAACAUCGUGAUUUCUAAUUGUUAUGAUCCACCGAACAAAACGAUACCACUCAGUCAUGAAGGGUUCUGGCGGGGGUAACUCUUCUGGGCUCCUGGAUUAUAAUGUGAAGCUGGUUUUGCACAUUUUCAAAAAUAUCGUUGUGAAUAUUCAUUAAAUAGUCGUAUUCUUUGCUCCACAUUUUCAUUGUCUCUUUGUAUUGUUUCAUUUACUGUUUUUAAAAGAGAUAUUUCUUGACUAGAGCUGUAAGUGUAUUGGUCUCAUGUGAAGAAAAUGAACUGCCCACCCCUGUCCCAAGGUGACGGCAAAUUUCUCUUUUGGAUCUCGAGCUGAAAGUUCGGAACGACUCAUUUACUGAGACGCAUCAUAUUCUGUAAAAUCGUCAUGUAUUUGUAGCGCCGCUGUCCUGUGAGAUCCACAUAUCUUUAAGAAGUCGACUUUUAUGAGCUGAGAUAAUAUGUGACAAUGUGUUUUCCAUCUAAUCCCAUAAGUGUAUUUUGGCUGAAGGAGGUGGAAUAUAUCUGUAAGAAGUCUGAGCUGUUCUUAGAUUUGUGAGGCUGCAUUGAACAACAAAUCCAAGAGUGUUUUUAAAGAGUUAAUUUAGAUUAACGCUUUAAACCCCUGAGCCUAAAGUGGUCCAAGUGGAUUUUUUUUUUUUAUUUUGACUAUAAAACGGUGAGAAAAUAUGCUGAGCGAGUCCAUUUGCCUUAUUUUCCAGAGCACUUUUUUCCAGAUCUUUCAAAAUCUAGCAGUCAUUUACAAUUUACUGUAUGUUAUAAUUCUGCUAAAGUAGCUUCUUCUCCAGACUCAAUUAAAUCUAUAAAGCACAACAUAAAAAGACAACUACCAACAAGCAAAAAAAAGUUAAAAAAAAAAAAAAAAAAAAAAAA